GACGAACGCUGGCGGCGGGCCUAAUACAUGCAAGUCGAACGCAGUGGGGACGGGUGAGUAACACGUGGGUAACCUCCCAUCAGAGGGGAUAACACUUGGAAACAGGUGCUAAAACCGAUACUGAUGGAUGGACCGGCGGUGCAUUAGCUAGUUGGUGAGGUAACGGCUCACCAAGGCCACGAUGCAUAGCCGGCCUGCGAGGAUGAUCAGCCCCACUGGGACUGAGACACGGCCCAGACUCCUACGUGAGGCAGCAGUAGGUAAUCUUCGGCAAUUGACGAAAGUCUGACCGAGCCACGCCGCGUGAGUGAAGAAGGUUUUCGGAUCGUAAAGCUCUGUUGUUAGAGAAGCGGUAUCUAACCAGAAAGCCACGGCUAACUACGUGCCAGCAGCCGCGGUAAUAC
rnacentral:rRNA from 1 species